CACGUAGGGUGCGAGCGUUGUCCGGAAUUAUUGGGCGUAAAGAGCUCGUAGGCGGUGUGUCGCGUCGGCCGUGAAAACCUGCAGCUUAACUGUGGGCUUGCGGUCGAUACGGGCAUCACUGGAGUUCGGCAGGGGAGACUGGAAUUCCUGGUGUAGCGGUGAAAUGCGCAGAUAUCAGGAGGAACACCGGUGGCGAAAGCGGCUUCCUGGUCCAGCACCGACGUUCAGGCACGAAAGCGUGGGGAGCAAACAGG
rnacentral:rRNA from 1 species